rnacentral:rRNA from 1 species
GACGAACGCUGGCGGCGUGCUUAACACAUGCAAGUCGAACGGAAAGGCCCUGCUUUUGUGGGGUGCUCGAGUGGCGAACGGGUGAGUAACACGUGAGUAACCUGCCCUUGACUUUGGGAUAACUUCAGGAAACUGGGGCUAAUACCGGAUAGGAGCUCCUGCUGCAUGGUGGGGGUUGGAAAGUUUCGGCGGUUGGGGAUGGACUCGCGGCUUACCAGCUUGUUGGUGGGGUAGCGGCUUACCAAGGCUUUGACGGGUAGCCGGCCUGAGAGGGUGACCGGCCACAUUGGGACUGAGAUACGGCCCAGACUCCUACGGGAGGCAGCAGUGGGGAAUAUUGCACAAUGGGCGGAAGCCUGAUGCAGCAACGCCGCGUGCGGGAUGACGGCCUUCGGGUUGUAAACCGCUUUCGCCUGUGACGAAGCGUGAGUGACGGUAAUGGGUAAAGAAGCACCGGCUAACUACGUG